GGAGGGGUGUCCGAGUGGUUUAAGGAGGCGGUCUUGAAAACCGUUGGGCUGUUUACCAGCCCCGUGGGUUCGAAUCCCACUCCCUCCG
rnacentral:tRNA from 1 species